AAGACUUUUUUUCUGCCUGUUUGUCAAGGCCUGAGGUAAUGUUACAAUUGUUACUGCCGUUAUCAUUAUGACAACUUCAACGGGGUGAAUAAAGUUUACAUUGACUGAUAUUUAGUGACACAGAAACAAAAUAAGCUUUUUUUUAAUGCGCCUCUGCCUCUUUAAUGUAAAUUAGCUAAGCAGGAGGACUCUUUGGAAACUUUACGUUAACAGCAAACUAUCUUGAAGUACAAAAAGAAAACGUGAGGCAACACGAAAGACGGAGGUUGUAUAACAGUAUUUUGAAGUGAAUAUUUCGUUUUCAUUUAGUUUUUUUGCUGUUAGAACCGCGGAACGUCGGAGGUUUGGAGUUGCUUGGAGUUCUUUUCUGGCGGUUACCGUCAUCUGAAGAAACUGGUCACUGCAACUCCAGCAGAUGCAGAGAGAAGCCUCUCUCUGCCCAGUACCCCAAGACUGAUUGCACUUGGUUCAUUCUGAGAAUAAACCCUGAUGGCACCAAAUGCCUAAAUCACAAAAUCAAAAUCACAGAUCAGCCGGGCAUCUGGAAAAAGGGUGCAGAGAAAAAUCGCCAGCCUGAAUCCUCUUGUGACAUCUUUCAUCAGAGAGCUUGUUGAAUUCGAUUGGCCAAAUUAUUGAAAGAAAACACGACUAAAACAUGUUUUUACUGUUUGAUUUGUUCUGCUUUUCAGAAUGUUUUUCAGAAAUUUUUAGCCAUGUUACAAAUACACAGGAUGAAUUCAAACACAUUUGUAGAAUGUACUUUUUAAAGUAAAUGUUAAAUAAUGAAAUAGUUAAACAAUGAAACAGCACAUUUUAAUGACAAAUGUUCAUGAGAACUUAUGCAUUUUUGGGGGAGUAAAAAACGUAUAGUUUACAGCUAGUGGUUUUUCAUUCGUUAAACAUCAGUUACUCCUGUUGUUAAUUUCAUUAAUUGGUUCGUCUUUUUAUACUCUGUGUUUGGUUUUGUUGCUUUGUUUUCUGAGUAUUUUGAGUUCUAUAUUAAAUAAAACUUUGACUGCUGCGAUUAGAUCAGUUUCAUCCAACUUUAUUGCAACCUUACCAGUGACAUGUAGAUUAAAAUUUUAUUAAUUUUGUAACAAUAAAGCAAAUGAAGCUAGACCCAAAUCUACAAAAAAAGUGAGUAAUAUGAAAUCAAUUCUAGUACUGUAAAUAAAAAUACAGUACUUGUACUGUAAAUAAUAAUACAAUAUACAGUAUUAUUACUGCAUAUUAAAAUACAGUACUUGUACUGUAAUUGAAAAAUACAGUACUCAUACUGUAAAUAGUAAUACAGUAUGCAUUAUUAUUACUGUACAUGGAAUUACAGUAAUGAUACUGUAAACUAUUUUACAGUAAGUUACUGGCAUCCAGCUGCCAGUAAGUUACUGUAAAAUUUACA